UACAAUCAAACAACAUAAGCAUGUAAAACAAGCAGAAAUUAGAAGCCAUAUACCAACAUGACGAUGAUGAUCUGGUAAUCGUGAGAUCUCCUCAAGACUCUAAAGUAUAAGCCCUCCAACGGUGAUCCACACGGAACUGAUCAGGACCUUUCUCAAUUUGACAUAGUGCUACAGUCUUCUUCGCAAGUUCGCUGCCAAUCGUCCUUCGCA
rnacentral:lncRNA from 1 species